UACGUAGGUGGCAAGCGUUGUCCGGAAUUAUUGGGCGUAAAGCGCGCGCAGGUGGUUUCUUAAGUCUGAUGUGAAAGCCCACGGCUCAACCGUGGAGGGUCAUUGGAAACUGGGGAACUUGAGUGCAGAAGAGAAAAGCGGAAUUCCACGUGUAGCGGUGAAAUGCGUAGAGAUGUGGAGGAACACCAGUGGCGAAGGCGGCUUUUUGGUCUGUAACUGACACUGAGGCGCGAAAGCGUGGGGAGCAAACAGG
rnacentral:rRNA from 1 species